ACGAACGCUGGCGGCGUGCUUAACACAUGCAAGUCGAACGAAAAGAGGGAAAGAGCUUGCUCUUUCCGGAAUUGAGUGGCAAACGGGUGAGUAACACGUAAACAACCUGCCUUCAGGAUGGGGACAACAGACGGAAACGACUGCUAAUACCGAAUAAGUUCCAAGAGCCGCAUGGCCCAUGGAAGAAAAGGUGGCCUCUACCUGUAAGCUAUCGCCUGAAGAGGGGUUUGCGUCUGAUUAGCUGGUUGGAGGGGUAACGGCCCACCAAGGCGACGAUCAGUAGCCGAUCUGAGAGGAUGAACGGCCACACUGGAACUGAGACACGGUCCAGACUCCUACGGGAGGCAGCAGUGGGGAAUCUUCCGCAAUGGGCGAAAGCCUGACGGAGCAACGCCGCGUGAGUGAUGACGGCCUUCGGGUUGUAAAACUCUGUGAUCCGGGACGAAAAGGCAGAGUGCGAAGAACAAACUGCAUUGACGGUACCGGAAAAGCAAGCCACGGCUAACUACGUG
rnacentral:rRNA from 1 species